rfam:Candidatus Levybacteria bacterium RBG_13_35_9 RBG_13_scaffold_17865, whole genome shotgun sequence.
GCCCCUAUAGCUCAACGGAUAGAGCAAGCCCGUCCUAAGGGCGAGAUGAUGGUUCAAUUCCGUCUAGGGGUA